rnacentral:rRNA from 1 species
UGGGGAAUAUUGGACAAUGGGGGAAACCCUGAUCCAGCGACGCCGCGUGAGUGAAGAAGUAUUUCGGUAUGUAAAGCUCUAUCAGCAGGGAAGAAAAUGACGGUACCUGACUAAGAAGCCCCGGCUAACUACGUGCCAGCAGCCGCGGUAAUACGUAGGGGGCAAGCGUUAUCCGGAUUUACUGGGUGUAAAGGGAGCGCAGACGGCGAAGCAAGUCUGAAGUGAAAUGCAUGGGCUCAACCCAUGAAUUGCUUUGGAAACUGUUUGGCUUGAGUGUCGGAGGGGUAAGCGGAAUUCCUAGUGUAGCGGUGAAAUGCGUAGAUAUUAGGAGGAACACCGGAGGCGAAGGCGGCUUACUGGACGACAACUGACGUUGAGGCUCGAAGGCGUGGGGAGCAAACAGGAUUAGAUACCCUGGUAGUCCACGCAGUAAACGAUGAAUACUUGGUGUCGGGGAGGUAAACUCUUCGGUGCCACAAGCAAACGCAUUAAGUAUUCCACCUGGGGAGUACGUUCGCAAGAAUG